rnacentral:rRNA from 1 species
UACGGAGGGGGCUAGCGUUGUUCGGAAUUACUGGGCGUAAAGCGCACGUAGGCGGCUUUGUAAGUUAGAGGUGAAAGCCCGGGGCUCAACUCCGGAAUUGCCUUUAAGACUGCAUCGCUAGAAUUGUGGAGAGGUAAGUGGAAUUCCGAGUGUAGAGGUGAAAUUCGUAGAUAUUCGGAAGAACACCAGUGGCGAAGGCGACUGACUGGACAGAUAUUGACGCUGAGGUGCGAAAGCGUGGGGAGCAAACAGG